rnacentral:rRNA from 1 species
CACGUAGGGUGCGAGCGUUGUCCGGAAUUAUUGGGCGUAAAGAGCUCGUAGGCGGUGUGUCGCGUCGGCCGUGAAAACCUGGCAGCUUAACUGUGGGCUUGCGGUCGGAUACGGGCAUCACUGGAGUUCGGCAGGGGAGACUGGAAUUCCUGGUGUAGCGGUGAAAUGCGUAGAUAGUCGAGAGGAACACCUGCGGCGAAGGCGG